GUUAAGUCCCCGCAACGAGCGCAACCCCUGCAUCCAGUUGCCAUCGGGCGAGCCGGGCACUCUGGAGGGACUGCCGGCGACAAGCCGGAGGAAGGUGGGGAUGACGUCAAGUCAUCAUGGCCCUUAUGUCCAGGGCGACACACGUGCUACAAUGGCCGGCACAGCGGGAAGCGGAGGGGCGACCCUGAGCGGAUCCCUUGAAAGCCGGUCCCAGUUCGGAUUGCAGUCUGCAACUCGACUGCAUGAAGUUGGAAUCGCUAGUAAUCGCGGAUCAGCCAAGCCGCGGUGAAUACGUUCCCGGGCCUU
rnacentral:rRNA from 1 species